rnacentral:rRNA from 1 species
CACGUAGGGCGCAAGCGUUUGUCCGGAAUUAUUGGGCGUAAAGAGCUCGUAGGCGGUCUGUUACGUCUGCUGUGAAAACCCAGGGCUUAACCCCGAGCCUGCAGUGGAUACGGGCAGGCUAGAGGUAGGUAGGGGAGAAUGGAAUUCCCGGUGUAGCGGUGAAAUGCGCAGAUAUCGGGAGGAACACCGGUGGCGAAGGCGGUUCUCUGGGCCUUACCUGACGCUGAGGAGCGAAAGCGUGGGGAGCGAACAGG